GAUGAACGCUGGCGGCGUGCCUAAUACAUGCAAGUCGAGCGAACGGACGAGAAGCUUGCUUCUCUGAUGUUAGCGGCGGACCGGUGAGUAACACGUGGAUAACCUACCUAUAAGACUGGGAUAACUUCGGGAAACCGUAGCUAAUACCGGAUAAUAUUUUGAACCGCAUGGUUCAAAAGUGAAAGACGGUCUUGCUGUCACUUAUAGAUGGAUCCGCGCUGCAUUAGCUAGUUGGUAAGGUAACGGCUUACCAAGGCAACGAUGCAUAGCCGACCUGAGAGGGUGAUCGGCCACACUGGAACUGAGACACGGUCCAGACUCCUACGGGAGGCAGCAGUAGGGAAUCUUCCGCAAUGGGCGAAAGCCUGACGGAGCAACGCCGCGUGAGUGAUGAAGGUCUUCGGAUCGUAAAACUCUGUUAUUAGGGAAGAACAUAUGUGUAAGUAACUGUGCACAUCUUGACGGUACCUAAUCAGAAAGCCACGGCUAACUACGUG
rnacentral:rRNA from 1 species